UGUAGUAAUCUUUAAAUCAGAUAACAAUGGAACGUGGCCUAAGUUCAAGGAGGAUUCUUUUAAAGACUACAGUGGAUUCGAGUUUGACUCCGUCGACGGGGUGGAGUUUGUAGACUGCAUAAAAGGAGAAGCAUGCGUACCUAAUCCCUGUCUGAAUGGAGGCUCUUGUAUCAGGAACGCAACCUCGUACUUCUGCCAAUGCGUGGGUCCCUGGACUGGAUGGAAUUGUAAUGAUGAAUCAUCAAAUCUUGACGACAUCUUUUGGUCGACGAAUCACAGCAUCACGGUCAUCACAAACACGAACCUUGAUCACGAAGAACAGUACUCUCACCAGGUUUUACUGAAGUUUUACAAGAUUUACGAUAGAGACAACCCUACAUUCGUCGUU